AUACGGAGGGUGCAAGCGUUACUCGGAAUCACUGGGCGUAAAGCGCAUGCAGGCGGUCUAAUAAGUUGGAAGUGAAAGCCUAUGGCUCAACCAUAGAACUGCUUCCAAAACUGUUAGACUAGAGUCUGUGAGGGGAAGAUGGAAUUAGUAGUGUAGGGGUAAAAUCCGUAGAGAUUACUAGGAAUACCAAAAGCGAAGGCGAUCUUCUGGAACAGUACUGACGCUGAGAUGCGAAAGCGUGGGGAGCAAACAGGAUUAGAAACCCCAGUAGUCC
rnacentral:rRNA from 1 species